rnacentral:lncRNA from 1 species
AUCCAUAAAGCUACAAACCUCUCAAUAAAUCUCUCCAAAGGGUCAAUUACUCUAAUCACUAGAUAAAUUGAAUUUACGAACAAGUUUCAUUAGAUAAUUGAUGAAAAUCAUUUGCAAAGGUCUUUAAAUUGAUGUUGUGUGUUCUAUUCCUCAAUUUAGAAACCUAAUAAAACCACUUCAUGGUAGUUUAUAAAGUAACCCUCGUUGGACAAAUCAUUACACAAACAUUAUUAAACAAAAAAAUUUAAGUAUUUCCGAUUUCAAAAUUGAAUAUCUCAAUGAAACAACUAUUUCACUCGUGAAUAUCCGAAAACAACUAAUUAACUAUCCCUUAAAAGAGGAUGAGGAAAAUUAGUCCUAGCAGGACUAACCAAACAAUAAGGGUCGUCUACCCUAAAAAAAUUAGGGUCAUCCGCCAAUCUAGUUUAUCCACCGAAAAAUAAACUAAAGAAAUUGAGCCAUAUACCCAAAACAUAAACCCUUGAGCUUCGUAAAUGGCCAAAAAUUAUCCAAAAUAUACUACGUCGUUCCCAUUUAAACUCUUCAAGCCUGCAUGAUCAAGGCAUAACCAAAUUAACUAGAAAAAUUCAGGAGAAAUUUGCAUUCAAGGAAGAUGAUGAUGAAUUAGACUUACCCUCAUCGUCCAAAACCCAAAAAUUGAGCAAAUUAUCAUAAGCAAACCUACACCAAUCACAACCUAAAAACCUCUACAACCUUACUGACAUAAAACUGGCAACUGCUGUUUCAGAUAGUGGGAAGAAGCAUACCCGAAAUGCAUCAAAUUUAAUUUUAAAAAGGGGAUAAUCCUCUAUCAGAAUCAGCAGAUAAUAUGAAAUGGCUUCGCUAAAAAUCAGAGCCAUUCUCCAAGUAAAAUAAAAAGAAAUUAAUAACCAUCAAACAAAUUCUCAGCAAUAACAAGCUACAAUCAGUGGUAGUGUGGUACCACUUCAUGGCUGUAGGCAAACUCAUGUCCUUGAAUUGCUUUAUAUGACAUGAACUUCACUCACCCCUUCUAGACACCAUUUGAAUUUAACUUCCCUGUAAGAACUGGUUCUCAUCCAAAAUCAGAUUUGCUUGGUAUAAAGGCAGACUGCGGCAGAAACAAAACCAAUGGUAUCAUAACCAGGUCAUCAACCUGCCCAACAAGAGAGUAGUAAAAUGAAGGGACGACAUUAAAUAAAAGCAGGAGGCACCUGAAAAUUAGUAGUGAAUGUAAGACAGUAAACAUCAAAUCACAGGCAAAAGAUGGAAUACCUCUACUAAUUCCCAUCUGUGAUUGACAUAAUCUUUCUCAGCCUACCAACAAACACAAAGGUGUUAGCAAUAACCAGCAAAAAGUGAAUGAACAAGAUAGAGUUGCUUUGGAUUAUGCAACAUAAUGCAAUCUUUUACAGUAACUGUAGCCAAAUUGGAGGGCGUCUUCACAGCUUUGCUGAUGAGGUGAUGUUUGUAUUACAAUUUUUUUGUAAGAACUCAGUUCGAAGUUGACUGCACAAUAAACAGACAGCAUACUCACAUGCACGCAACAUACACCACAUAAAAGAGAGGUAGUAAUUUAUCACAAAGCUUGUAAAAAGUAAAAGUUAACCAAAAAUCUCACAAAGCUUGCAUAAUUCUGUCCCCAUCUUGGGGAAUGAAAUAGAAAUUAGUAAUUAUGUUAAUUAAACUUGUAAAAAUCAGAACAAUUUGUGUUCUGAGAAGACAGUAUGAAAUUCACAUGUAUGAUUUGGAUCGCUGAAAUAAUCCUAAGCUGUACAAAUGGUAGGAAUUGGUAAGGUCAAGUAAUGCCCCGACCACAAAAAAAAAACCUUUAAUAAAAAUGGGGUAUCAAGUUUUCAACCCUAAGAGGUACAGCCUCAAUUAGAUAUGAUGGAUGAAUGGAAUCGGUUGCCAUCUUCAAACAUCCAGAAGCCAGUCAUCUAGAGGAUACAAUUGGAGUGCAUUGAGCUUGAAUACAAAAUAGCAACGUCUGUUUGCAGAGUACUCCACCUUCAAUAUUCUGUUCAACCUCAAGAUUGCAAGGUGAAAUUUGCAUUUUCCAUAGAGCCCACUUGGUUUGGGCUCAAAAUGUUAUCUGUGCAUAAAUGAAACCUUCCGGAGCACUUACGUUAGCAGAUUGAAGUGCUAUGGCAUGCACAGGACCACCAAAACUGUGAGAACUGAAGUUUGAAGAAGAAACAGAUUUCGGGAAUCGUAACACAGAAAUGCAACUGGGUAGAAGCCAAUCCAUCCGAAGAACAUUAAGAUUUCACAUCACAUUUCUUUUCCAUAUGUCUCUCAAUCAAUUUGUCCACAAAGGAGCGAAUCUGCAUGAUUCAGACCCAAACUCAGUCACAAAGGAAAGAUCAAUUUCCAAAAGCAAGCAGGAAAUGAUGACAACAUCAGUAACAUGAAUAUCAUACUCUGGAAGGUGUGUAGCAAAGUCAUACGGGAUUAUUAAUGGCAACGUACCUUAUUCUUCCGCUUGAAAUCCAGAAACUCAUGAACAGCCAUGGCUUUUUCUGCAUCUGUGACUUGCUCCAUGACCUGAAACUUAAACCCAGUAAAGUAAGAAAUGAAAGAAGACUAUAGUUUCUUGAGAUGAUAUUCUAGAUCAGUUAUGCCAUACAAACUGCUAAACCAACCCAUAGAGUAACACAUUAGCUUAGCAAAUAGAAAGGAGAAGCAAAGAAUUGAUGGGAGAAAAUAACCUUGGUUGUACUUUUCUUCAUUAUAGCCUUGUAUCCAUCUUUAUUUAGUUUUCUCGUCUUAUAAAGGGGAAUCAGUAGAGACGCAACAUAAUCCACAACAGCCUGUUUAAUAUGCUCUACUCCUUGAGAAUGACAUUUUGAAAUCUCCUUAUUCACAGUAACCUGUGAAAUAGAGCUUUCAUUUGCCAUACCAUCCUGCUUCCAGCUGGGUAGCCUAGAGCAGGCAUUUGAAUCCUCUUCAUCCUUCAAAUGUAUGGUUGGAUUAGAAGAAUCAGAAUGUGCUGCAGCUGCCUGAGAUUGCCAUCUCUCAAUGGCAUGAUAGUCCUUCAUUCCCACACCUUCAGCUGCGUCAAUCCAAGCUUUUGUGUAUAUACUGCUGUCCACAGCAGCACUUUCUCCCGAGUGCUCUCUGGAAUUCAAAUGACUGGCAAUCUCAUUUGAAUGGCUCCGCUGUGAGAGGUUAUCAACUGACAUUCUGGAAUUAUCAAGGUUAACGUAAGCAGAAGAGAAAUCUACAGACCAAUCUCUAACUCUGCAGUUUCUAGAAUCAAUCUCUGAAAUACAAUCUUGCCUUCCCAAAACACCACCAGGCCCCUUUUUCCUAAUAUCACUCUCGUCAUUUUGGGAAUAUUGUUCCUGUCUAGCAAAUUUGAGGAAAGAGGGUAUCUUCGGAAGCUGGAGUAGUGUACUGCACCUAGUUUCUGCUGAGGCAUAUGCCUGCAAAGAACAAAAACCACAAAUAUAGGACAUGUUUAGAGGCAGUUAAUAAACUUUGCAUUUUUAUCAUCCAGUCAACCACUUGCUAUGAUGGAUAGGUAAUAAUACGAGUCACAUAGGAUAUACCAAUAUGAUAAUUAAAAAAAAAAAGGAUUAGCAAUGGAUAUAUAGUUAAAAAAAAAACUGCGCCCCAUGCAUUCUACCUCAACCCUGUUUGUUUGGUGAUGGCGAAGGUUUGUAGCCCUCAGAUUUUGACUUUUAAAAAGGGCAACACCGCAAGUUAGAAAAAGUUUAGUUUUGAGGGACGUGCGUGAUUGAUGAGGAGAGGACAUGAAUUCGUAUCCUGGAUCUUUCAAGUAACACCAAAAAUAUACAGAGAUGGAUCCGAAGUGGGGCGAAUAUAAAGUCUCAACUAUAUCUUUAGAUAACCAAAACAUACAUUUAAUCAUACUCAUAAAGAACUAUGAUUUGGUGUAGACCCAAGCAAAAGCAUCAGGAUAGUAUUUAAAGACAAUUUUCCAACUUUUCAUCAAACGAAGACUUGUACAGUACCACCACACAAUUAUGAUACUUAUCCCAGUAUCUAGAAAAUACUCAAUUUAGUCAAUUGACUAGGAAAUACACAAAUAGGGCUAGCAAAUACUCAAUUUAGUCAAUUGACUCAAUGAGCAAGAGCAUGAGUUUUGAGAUGAACCUGAGUUGAACAAUAAGGUUGAUUCAAUAAACAAGCUUGAUUCAUAAAAAUAAUUUAAUUCACAAAUUGAUCUAUAAUUUGGAAUUUGGUUGAUUCAAUAUGGUUGAUUCAAUAAACAAGCUUGAUUCAUUAUAGCUUUAAUUAGAAUUUUAAUCCCCAAAUAGUAUACCAUCAAUCGUGGUCAAUCUGUGCUAUAGACUCACAAUUCAUAUAUAAUUAUUAGAAGAAAAAAAAUUGAAUAUAACUUGUAAAAUGAGGACCAAACUCUAAGCUAGCAGCUAAGGAGGUUAGCCAAAAGGAUAGCAGGACAUGUUUGAGUCAAACUCAAGUCAAUAAACUGUUGUUCAUGCAUACUCAAACCAAGCAAAUUUGAGUUACACAUAGACUCAUCCCAGCAUCAUCAUGCAAUAAUCACUACACCCAAAAUCUCAUCACAAAGUGUUCUAGCACAUAAGAAUACCAGGAUACACACAUUUACAAGGCCCAAGGAAUUUAGCUCAUGACUAUGGAGCUGAAGAAGCAACAAAUCCAUACCAACAGAUUCUUAGCAUUAAAACUAAAGUUUCAAGAGAAACAAACCUCGGCAGCAGCAAGUGCUUUUGCACAAGCAGCUUCUGCAGCAGCUAUAGCAGCCAGUUCUUCUUCAGACAUAGCACAGUGGUUGUCCUUCACCUCAGCACCCGUUGAACCUUGGGACAUGGAAGAACUGACAUCAUGCUUCAAGUCAUCUGCCGCUUGCUGUCUUCCUUGCUUGCCAUGUGAUUUCUUCACAUGUGCAAUGGAAGGUGAAUUAUUUGCAGGAGUUAGCAUGCCUCCUUUAUUCUCAAAGGUACUAUGAUGUGUACUCAGGGGUGGCUUUCCUGAUGCUGGAUCUCUCGUAAAUUUUCUCUUUGAUAUAUCUACAGCAGUUGCUUGUCUUGACAGCUUUAGUCCUCCAUUAGAUACUUUUUCCUUGCGGAAGACUUUAAGCCAUACACUAACCAACUGGCUUGCAAUAGCACGAAUAUCACGGCUAGUAUGUACACAGACUUUUUCCUUCACUGUUUUCCCGAUGCCUACGGCCAUAAUUGAAAAGAUAAGCAAAAACAGUGGGAAAACCGUGGAUAGCAUAUUUACACAUGACUUCAUCAGGACAGAAUACCCUACUGAAGGAGAAAUAUAUCUACCACAUGAUAAUUUGCAGUUUCACUUGGCUGAUCAUCAUACAGUAAUGGAUGAUCAUAAGAAAGACACAGACUAAGUUGGACAUCAAAUUAAAAUUGUUUUUUUUCAAAAAUUAUAUAUAAGACAUGCUCUCACACACAUAUAUAGGUUAAUGCAAAGUCAUAUUAUACAAUUAAGUUUGCAUGCACAGAUUAAUGAAAAGUUUCAUCGCACCCUCCAAACAACAAAAAAAUACAUAGGUACCUGAUAACCGCACAGCAAGUAAAUCAGUUGAAACUCGCACAAGAAGACGAACGCAGUGCCGCAAGAGUUGGGUGCCAUCCUUCCCCAUUGAGUCCUGUUUGAAACACGAACUAUCAAGCACAAAAUCUAACAAUUCUAUCACCACAAGAUGAAGAUGUUUUAUUUUUUAGUGACAAAGGUUGUACACACUAUCUUACAAAAAAAAGAUAAAUAAUUUGAAAAUAAUGAUCAAGAUCCAGUGAGACACCAGUUCAGUACCAGUAUCCAUGAGUGGAGAAUGGUCAACCCCUUUUUACACCCAGCAAAGGAUUUUAAGGUUUCAACAGGAAGAGUCAGCAAUUGUUUGGCUACAUGCAAGCGCCCAGCAUUGGUUUUUGUAUUGAAGAACAAGUCCCUAAGCAAAACUUCCCGACUCAAGAUUCGAGCACCAUCCACAGACUUCUUGUACAAUACAUUAGAAAACUCUGCUGCAUCAAGUCUCUUUAUUAUACCCCUAACUUCAUCUCUUUCAGUUUCUGACUGUCCCUGUGCAGCCUCCAUUGCCUCCACCUCAGCAGUAUAAUCAUUUCCGGUGCUAAAUAAGUCAAUUAUGCGCACAGCUUCCCGGAGUCCACUCAUCAUCGCACCACCAACGGUAUCAGGAUGCUCUUUGCAGGUCGCUUCACCAGCAAAAAACAGGCAGUUAUCAACUGGCCUCCUUAAUAUAUCAUAGUCUUCUCCUGAUGCUCCAAUGGCAACAUAAGAGUAAGCACCAUAACUAAAAGGAUCCCUGCCCCAAUCAGUCACAACAUGUGCAACAGGAUCGGGUACAAAAGCAUCCCCAAAAAGUUUCCGAAGAACCAUUAAUGCUUGGUUAACAUGAUCAGAAGAACUCAAAUUCUGACCAUCUAUGGCUGCCUUCCCAACCACUAAUGCUAUGAGGACUGGAGCUCCGACUGUCUUCCUGACAUUCCAGAACAUAAAGCAGUGGCCUCUUUUGCUCGCCUCCUCAGCUGUUGCUCCAAAGUAGUCAACAGCAUCAUCCCAAAACACGUGAGGAAAUUCCAAUGCCACUUUAUUGAGAACUCCAAAUCCAAGGCGCUGAAUAGAAGACUGUUUCCAUGCCGGCAAAGGGGGAGAGAAUUUUAUAGUUUCAGCCUUCAAACAGCCUAAUGGAACAGUAAUCAGAACAGCAUCUCCAAAGAAAUCAUUGCCAUUUGAUGUAGAUACUCUGACCUUAUCACCUUGACCAUUUUCCUUGCUUCCGUAAGACACAUUUGUUACAACAUGGUUCAAGUGAAUGACAAGCCCUUCUCCUAAAGAUUCAACGACAGAGCUGUAACCCCCUUUAAUCAUACAAUGAGCUCCUCCGAAUCCUCCAUACACGUCAUCUUGAUUCCAGUAGGGAAGAGAAACUUCCUUAAGCGGAGCAGCACAUCCAUACUCCAAAUUUGCAAAGUGCCAAUCCAUAACCCUCCUCUCCAUAGGACUCAAAAUCUCCUCUUCCAAUUUUCUUUGCAGGGUAGUGCCUCUUUUGGAAUCAAAUGGACUGUCUGCAGAAUUAUUUUGUUCAAUUUGAUCAUUAUUUCUUCCAAAGCGUUCCAAAUGGCGCCUUUGAAGAGCAUAUUCUAGACCAUCUUCAAGAGACAUUCGCAUGGCAUGUUCACCCUUCUGGGCGACAAGCAAUACCAUGUCAUCAAGAAGACUAUUGAAUUCAGCUUCCAGUGCUUCAUCCAUAUCUGCAGGAACCUUUUGUCCCGUCCCUAUGUCAUAAAGAGGACAUUCACUGUUCAGCACUGUCAACUCAAGGCCCAACUGAGCACAAACUAAUGAGGAAGGAUCUGGUCUUCUCUCAGUAGCCACAUCAGCCUCAACACCAGUGAUAAUGCUAGCACCAAGAUCCACAGGAACAGAAAGAGAUGAGUGAUCUGUAUACACUCGGCCUCCUAUCCUACUCCUUGCCUCGAGUAUAGUUACAGGAAAUCCCAGACGUUGCAAGUGUCGAGCAGCAGUUAGCCCAGAAGGACCAGCUCCAAUGACAAUUACUCUCUUUGUAGCCUCUGAAUCAGGAUGCAGUAGACUACCUAUCUGAUCAUCCAAGGCAGACUUAACACGUGUAGAUUCAUUGCUUUGCUCAGAACUGCUAACAUUUCCAUGUAUAAUUGCACUUAAACCAUCCUCAAUUCCACCAUUUUCCUGGUAAUAAUCACUCUUUCUUUCUUCAUGUUGUGUCAUGUUUGAUAAAUCCAUCAUCACUACAUCAACAUGCCUCCUGUCAUCUGUAGCUUCAGUUGUGAGGUCUUCAUGAUCUACUAUAAGACCAAUCUUAUUCUCUAUGGAGCAAUCUGACUUUUUAUUCUGACCAACAAUAAAGGACACACCAUCUUCAGAGUCAGCAACAGAAGCUGCAGAACUAUCCUCGAAACCUUUUUCUUUUAUAAGCUUAUAGUUAUGGCUCGCACUACUUCCAACAUUCUCCUUUCGUGAGGCAAUUCCAACAUUAAUAUAACCCUGUAAAAAAAUAUGAUUAUAAAGUUCCCAAUUGCACCAACCAAUAGACAAAAAGUAUGGUUUUAUUAAAGCCAAAAAGUAUAGUUAAAUGAGAAAAGGAAAUAGCUGAAUAAAUGAGGAAAACUUACACAUUGGUCAAGAAAUGCAUAGACCUUCCUAAUCAAAGAAGACUUAGGAGGUUCAUCCUCAGAAGGAGUAUCACUAACCCCACAGUCAGCAAGAGGCAAAAUACGCGUGACAUCACUGCUCCAAAGGCUUAAGAUCUGAUUUCUGCAAUGUAUAAAUUUAAACAUGUAAAAUUUAUUUUGAUGCAGAAUUUAUUACAAAAAGCUUCCCUGGUUUUUAGCUAAACUCUCUGUUACAAAUAAACAAAAGCAUGAAAUCCAGUAUAUCCCAGAGUAUUUUAGCAUAGAAGCUAAGAAGUUGCUACUAAUACUAUAUGUUCAUUUGAAUUUUGCGGUUGAUUAUUUAAAGACUUUUUCAUGGAUACCCAGACGCAAAAAACAAUUAAAAACAACAUCCCAUCACUAAAACAAUAAAUCAGAAGGUAAAAGCUAAUCAAGAAAAAAUAAGCGAUCAUGAUGCUAUAAAACAAAUAAUAUGAGAAAUGAGAAGAGAUUGCUAUUUGCAAUAAAAUCACAACAACAGGAACUCAUAAUCUUAUCAUAUAAUAUAAAACUAAUAAUCAAUUAUAACUCGAUCAAAAAAGGAAAAAACAAAUCUAAUCGAAAUUGAUUGAAAGUAGACAUAUUCUCGUAAGUCUUAAAUAUUUCCUUUUCUGAGCAAAUAUAAGAGGAAGGCCCUUGCUUUCCCUCCUUGUCCUUGACUACAACAAUGUAACAGUAGAUAAUAUAAUUAUAUAAAAGUCAGAAGAAAAACAAUGGCCAAAUAGGAAAAAAUAUUUGAAUCAGCAAACAGAUAUCGCUGGAUAACUGCUAACUUCCAAUUUUAUUUGCCUCUUAUUUAAUUCUCAUAAGUCGUAACAACAACAGGCUGUUCACCAGCCCAAAUAUACAAAUGAAUACUUAAGAAGCCAGAUACAGAAGAUAGCUCAUGUUUCACACAGUAAAUAACAUAUUCAAUCAACAGUCAUAAAUGAUUGAAACAGUUAGUGCAUCAGAAGCAUAAGACAAUAAAAACCAAUACUGAAGAAAGCAACCUUAAAGUUGCAGAAAAAAUACUGAAACCUUUCUUAAUACAUGGAAAGACCAAUUGCAAGCAAAUACAAAGACCUGUUUGAAAGUUAUAUACUGACCUGCAAUUCAAAUAUUCCUGGAGACCACCUUUACGCUUUAAGAUCUCCUUAAAUCUUAUUUUCUCAACUGGACCAGCUGCAUGCGCUUUCAGCCCAGCUGAUACUGCUACUGCGACACUGUCAGACUCAUCAACAGCAUCAUUCAAAGAGGAAUCAAACUUCACUCUCGGUCUGUGAAUGUGUUCACCAUCAAGACCACCUUGGCUUUCAAGAAAAGCUUGGUCAUUUAUCAAAACCUCCCAAUCACCAUCCCCUUCAUACGCCAUGUCUCCAUGCCUACGCUUCUUAGCCUUCCGGCGCGUAGAUGCUGAUGCCUUAUUAUCUUUAUUGGCAACCUCAGAACCAGAGACAGCAUAUUCUUCGCAAUUCUCAUUUUCCUCUGGAAUUGCACCCUGAGAUGAGGCACCAUCAGUAUCUUUCUUGGUAUAGAAACAAUCAUCAUUUGGAAGGGAACCCUCUUCAAAUGUAUUGUUACAAGGUUGAGUCGGAUCCAAUACCGAGGUGCAUUUUGGAAUGGAGGAAUUAGAGUCCUUUGGAAUAUUACUUGUUUCUGAAGGUUUCUCAGGGUGAUUUGACUUAAUAGCCAAUUCAGAUUCAUUGGCUUCAUUUGACACCACAGGAUCUAAACUACCACCAUAAUUUACAGAAUUUAUUUCAGGAAAGAAACCUACAACAAAACCAUGUGUUUCGGCCUUGGUAUCUAGAUUAUUACGAUCACAGCAAUUUCUCCAACAAACAAACUUAGUUUCAGAAUUUACAUCUUCAUCUACCUCUGUUCGGCAUCCAGAGAGCUUCAGAGUUCCAUUUCUUGAGGAUCCCAGGAAAUUUUUUCCAGAAACCAUAUGAUUAUUUUCAUUAAGUAGAUUCUCAGAUGAUUUAGUCAAGAGCUCGGAGUCACAGGAGAACAACUUUGCUUUGUCCAUAUAAGUAAAAUCGCCAUGUUUUGGUGCACUAUUACAUACUUGUGCUUGCUCAUCAGGCAAAGUGUCCUUAAGCUCACCCUCACUAAACCGACACACCCCUUCCCCUACUUCUCUGAGCGAGACUGUGUCGAUUUUACCUUCAACAUCAUGCAACAUGGCAGAACACUUCUUUAAGCCAUCAUUGAAAGAUCCUUCUUGUAAUGCCACCUUUUGGUCAGAAGGAGAACAUAUAUCUUCAGGUUGUACACAAGACAAUUGCUGGCUACCUCCAUAGCAGGCGUUGGUUGAGAAACGGGGAUCAACUAACGGCUCAUCAGGAAUGGUUGGAUGACAUACGCCCUUGGCGAUUUCAGGGGAACUUUUGCAGCACAUGCUCAACCCAUCAUUCACAUUCUGGCUCUCACUUUUCUGGAUCACACCCACCCCUUUCUCAUCUUCUGCGGUGCUCCUAGACCCUUUCGCAACCAAAUCACCAACAGACAAGGCAUGACCCUCAGUUCCCUUCAAUGUCAAAUCCAUAUUAGGUCCCUCUAAUUUCACUUCACAGCUACCCAUGAUCUUCAUAUCCAUAGCUAAAUCAGAUCCACCAUCCCCCACAGCAAGCCCCACGCAGACAUUGUCCUCAUUCAGCGAAGACUUUUCAUCCAAAUCCUCAUUCAAGGCAAAAGCUUUCUUCCCUCUUGCAGCUCCAGAUCCCUGCUCUUUCUUAGGACCCUUCAACCUCUUUCUAAAGUUAGCCAGAGUAUCAUCCAAACCCCCUAAACCCUCUCGUAGCCCCCCACGACUGCCAGCAUUCUCGCCUUCACCACCACCAGUGCCCUCGGUUGCCAAGCUAACCUUCUUUUUCACAUCCCGCGGCUUCCUCGCCUUAAACAUAGACCCAAUGAGCUCAUUAUCAUCAGUUUCAACCAGUUUAGACCUCUUCUUUGCCCCAGAACUCACGUCUUCACCAUCCAUCUCUUCUCUUCAAUGUAGCCCUACAAAAACCUAUUGAAAAAACCCUUCAUCUGAAAUUCAUUGCCCUAAUCUACAUGUGAAUGCGAAACCAUGGCUUUCCAGUUCUCUAUCGUGAAAACCUAAUCCAGUCAUCUCAACGCACAAAAAAGGAAAGAUAACGAUUCUCGAACAAGCUUCUACUGCAAAUUAGUGAGGAGUAAAGUUCAAUAGUGAAUCGGUUGUGAAGGUUGAAGAGCAAGUAAAAGCGCUAACCACACUGUAACGAAACGCAUAGAAACUGAAGCGUUGAAUAGAGAGAGAAAGAGAUACAGAGAGAGAGGUUGUAGACCUGGACUCUGCCUCUGCACUGCAAUGGCGUCGGUGCGGUGGCUGGUUUCUUCGUUCCGGUGGCGAAGAACGUCACCGUUUCGUUACAGUGAAGGGGAAACAAAGAAUGUGAAAGAAAGAAAGAAAGCCCGCUCUCUUAUAAAUGGUGCCGCGAGCAACAUUCAUUCCUUGCUUGGUGUAUAAAACGGUAAUUAAGAAAAUAAUCAUCAUCUAAUAUUAAUCUAAUCUAAUUGAUUGUAAAGUUUGUGAGCUUUUUGAAUAGCUUGACAUGAAAUGUUUCAGAAAGACUAGUUUGGAAGUGCUGGAACAACAUGAUCUUUUGAGGAUAAUCUUUGGACGGUGCAGGAGGCAUGGUGCGAAAUAUGUGAUAAUCGUGAUGAGUUCGUGUUGUUUAUGGAUCCUUAAAUUAUGGACGUAGGUGAUGUGAUGUUGAGUUGCACCUGGUGUACUCUAUUAUGUUGGUGAUGUUAAACUGAAUGUUGACGGAGCUUUCGCGAACCAGAGAGGUCUGGUUUAUGAUGACUAGGGUUGGUGGCUUUGCCGUCUCUAUUCUUAUGAGGUGGGUGGUAAUUCAUUGCUUGCAGCAGAGGCUAAUUAAUGUUAUGCGUGAUGGUCUCUUUCCCGCCUGGAAUCCGCGAUAUAAGGAAGUCACGUGUGAGGUGGAUUGUGUUGACUUUCUCACUUUCUUGUUUCGUUUGAAGACACUGAAUGUGCGAGAGUCACGUGUGAGGUGGAUUGUGUUGACUUUCUCACUUUCUUGUUUCGUUGGAAGACACUGAAUGUGCGAGAUUCUUUCCAAUGAUCAACGAUAUAAAGAAUUUCACAAUAAAGGAUUAGGUUGUGACCGUUACCUGUGUUUAGUGAGAUAGCAAUGCACAUUUGAUCGUCUUGCUAGAUUGAGUUCAUGCUCACCUUCCUCGAGGGUUUGUUUUAUAGAUGUGCAUCACAUUGAGUUGAAGACUCUCAUGAUGAGAGAUUCUUUGUAUAUGCCUUAGUAUAUGUUUGAGUUGUAUUAUUUUUUUUGGGGAAAAAAAGACAAUAAAGUUAAAAAAUGAUUUCAUAACUCUUUUCUGGACUAGGUUUGAAGGUUCUAUAGAUAAGGUAAAAAUGUUUGAAGUAUUUUUUUAGUUACUUGAAAAUAUAAAGGUCUAAAAAUCAAUGUUAUUAAAUUUCUUUGUCAAAAAUUGAUAAGAAAAGAGAGGCUAAAAGAUCCACUUAUGAAAGAUAUCUUUAAAAGGAAAUGAAUGCUUUUAAGGAAAUAGUGACAGAUUGUUCAAAAGAGAAUGGAACCGCCUGGUCCGACCAGUUGGAUUGAGAACCAGUCAAGUGAUCGGUCCACUUGAAAAAAAAACAACUAGAUCUCAGAGCUAGUGAGAACGGCAAUAACUGAGUCAAAGCCAGUGAAAACCAAUUCGUUGUUGGUCUCUUACACAACUUUUGCACUUCUUAAAGAAUAAUAAAUAAAUAAAUUUUGCUAGGGACUAUUGUCCAAUUUUACAUAAAUGAAAACAUGUUUUACUCUAAACAUUUUGUAGUUGUGGUUGAUCAAUAACUUGGAUAAAUAAUGCAUUUUGUUAAACAAUUGUAUAAAGAGAUUCUCCUCGUACGUAGUUUUUUUUUCCAUACUAUAUUGCUUCCGCAGUUUUAAUACGAGUAUGGUGAAUGUCAAAGAUUUUUCUAAAAGUAUGUCUCUUAAAGAUCAAACUUUCCACCUAAAAAUUCAAACAAUAGUUUUUAAUCAUUACAACCAACACACAUUGGACCUCAUCCAUAGUAUAUAAUAUUAAUAUACUAUAGAGGACUUUGAUAAGAACAUCAAGCUUAGACCUUAGACUUCCUUCACAAACCUACUCUCAAAUACUCAGUGCAAUAAUGGAACUUAUCUUGAAUUAUAAAGUCUACUAAGAUAAAUGAGCAUAUUUUAUUUUGUUCAUCUUCUUUUCUAUAUGCAUAUCCCAAGAUCACUUGCAACUUAUACAAAAUGGUUUUAUCAAGUUUUUGUUAGAAUGGACUAGUCACUUGGUUGCAAUGGAGUGCUAAUCUCACAUAAUGAAUGUUGAUCGUGAUAGUUACAAGUGAUUGUUUGAACCCUACAAUCGAAAAUUGAUUUUUAAGAAUCACACUCUUGAGAGAUAUUUGACAUUCAACACACUGAGUUGAAAUUGCGAAAGCAAUUUAAUAUAUAAAAAAAUGUAGUCAAAUCCCUUUUCAUUGAAUUGAUUUACUAUAAAGGAAAAUCGUAAUGAGAAUUAAUUUUUUUUUUCAUUCAGUUUGAAAGGCAUAGCCUUUAAACAUUGUUAUAUAUAUGAGAGGCACAAGCAAUGACACAAACAAAUCAACAGCUCACAUUACUUGGUGUUCUAUUUGGGUCAAAGGCUUAGGCUUAUGCCAGGCAAACGGCCAUAGGUCACCCCAGAUGACUUUUUUGGCCAUAGCAUGCAAAGUAGGGUUCUUGCUCCUGGUUACAACAAUACGGACAUAAGAACCCUCUGAGGCAUCUGGCUUGGUGGACCUGCACACAUUCAUUGUGACCUGUCUACCCCUCCUUACAGGCAUGAAGAUAAUUCUGCCCCAGCCACCUCCAAGAUCAGCACUACCUGUUUCCUCUUCCUCAAUCUCUUCAUCAUCAUCAGCAUCCCCAUCAGUUUCAACAGCAUCAGAAUCAUAAGUUACUGCACGUACUACUUCAUGAGGUACUACUUCAUGUGGAGCAUCAUCAGCACCCCCUUCAGUUUCAAUAGCAUCAGAAUCAUUAGUUACUGCAUCUACUACUUCAUGAGGAGCAUCGUCAGCUUGUUCCAACUUCAACCAGUCAUCUGAAAAAGUGAAGAGAAAUAAAUAAAAAAUGGAAAUGAAUAGUAUAAAGUCAGUCUCCAUGAUCCAUGAUGGCAUGACCACAGGUUCAAAUGCAAGCAGAUCAUACAUUUUGUUUAGAAAUAUUUUAACAGAAAACAAACAUGCACUAGUGCAAUUGUAUCAUCAAGUACCGUAGUCAAUUUCAAUAGCAUCCCAAUCAUUAGUUACUGCAUCUACUACUUCAUGAGGAGCAUCAUCAGCUUGUUCCAACUUCAACCAGUCAUCUGAAAAAGUGAAGAAAAAUAAAUAAAAAUUGGAAAUGAACAGUAUAUAGUCAGCCUCCAUGAUCCAUGACGGCAUGAGUGCAUGACCACAGGUUCAAAUGCAAGUAGACCAUACAUUUGUUUGGAAAUAUUUUAACAGAAAACAAACAUGCACUAUUGCAAUUGUAUCAUCAAGUACCGUAGUCAACUUCAAUAGCAUCAGAAUCAUUAGUUACUGCAUCUACUACUUCAUGAGGAGCAUCGUCAGCUUGUUGCAACUUCAACCAGUCCUCUGAAAAAGUGAAGAGAAAUAAAUAAAAAAUGGAAAUGAAUAGUUUAUAGUCAGUCUCCAUGAUCCAUGACCACAGGUUCAAAUGCAAGCAGACCAUAUAUUUUGUUUAGAAAUAUUUUGAACAGAAAACAAACAUGCAUUAGUGCAAUUGCAUCAUCAAGUACCGUAGUCAAUUUCAAGAUCUUCUGGAUUUCUUUUAGCAUGCUGUUCCUUCAGAGUCUCCAAUGUAAUACCAUCAAGAGGCCAAGAUUCUCUGGUCCAGGGGUUGAGCGAAAAAAAUCAAAAUUACAUACAAUGAAAGCAUAUAUGCCCUGAAGACAUGGACUGUGCCAUUCAAUGAUCAGUGAGGUAAGGAUCACAAGUGUUAUCUUCCAUUUCAACAGAAAAGAAAUCAUAAUAAAAAGUUUGGAGAAUGUUUGUAUUAUGACUUAUGAGUUACAUGUCCAUAGGCUUGUUAAGAUCUCAUGAAAAAGAACUCUCAAUAUUUUCUGUUAUUCUAUUUGAAAAUUGGUGAAGUUCAAACAUGAAAGGUUUAUGUACAACACUUGCCUUGGUCUUAGUCCUCGUCUUAAAACAACAUAGGAAAAUUUCUCAUCUUCAAAGCCACGUAAAGGCUCACCCUUUGAACGCUGCAAAAUCAUGAAAUUCAGAGCAGAAAUACAUUUGUUAUGUUAAUCCUUAUUGAACAAAGAGGAAAGUAGGAUUGUGGGGAACAUGACUCUUUCCAAUACAGAAAGUAAAAUAUGGAUUACAAAGAAACCUUGUAGGCACGUUGUGAUGAUGUCCUUUCCAAGCGCUGAACAAAAUGACAAUAUUUUCCAGAUUUUACCAGUGGACAAGUCCCAUCAUGGGGACACUGCAUUCAGAAAAUUUAUCAAACGAAUGAGAGAGGCAUUGAAAGAGAGAAUGAGAUUGACAAUCGUCUAAAUUGAAAAAGAUGUUGAGUAAAAAUGUAACGAACUUACAGGAGCAACUACAAAAGCACCAUCCUUCUUAGUUAUCAAAUCUUUACAAACUUCUUUGUUCUUUUGAGAAGAUUUACGGAACUUCUACAAAGAUAGCAAAUUCCAUCUUUGUAAGAAUUAAACAUCUGAAGAAAAUGGCACAACCAUGACUGGAAAAGACAAAAUACAAAGACUAUUUAUCAUUGGUCAGAAUUUCUUAAAAGAAGUAGUAAAUUUACUCUUUCUUCCAUCCAUAAUAUGUGAGAUCUCAUGUGAGCUAUAAUACUAGAUCCAUGAGGUGUUCCAGGUUCAACCAAAACCUACAAGAUUUUGAUUUGACAUACGGAAAUAACAUCAGAUGUAAGAUUUUGGCCGAGAUAAAACAAAAGCAAAAAGGUUUUUGUUGUGAAAAGAGAAAAAAAAAAGAGGAGAAGGGGGGGGGGGGGGGGGGGGAGAUAAAUUUAGGGAAUUCAAAAGUGCCCAAAAAAAUCUAUAAUUCAAAAAUGUUUCUGCUAUGCUCCUACCACUCCUUUUACUCCGCCAAUUACUUUGUUUUACUUUCCAAAACAGGUUACAUGAUAACAAUCUAAUAAAUGAUAUAAAUUAGUUAUAGACAAUCCUCUCUUCACAGGCCAACAAAAUAUAAGCUUGGAAUCAUACCAGAACAUCCUGUGUUAGAUCCCAAAGCUGGCGAACGAUGGUGAUUCGAUCCUUUAGUGAUGGAAUCUCUCCAAGAACAUAAGACUUCAGCCCAUGAAACACAUUGCAAGUAUUUAGCAUCAAUUUAAGAAACACACAGAAAAGCUUUAUAUGCCCACCAAUGUUUGAAAGAAAUAUAAAACAGAAGCAUGUUCCUUUCAGCAUUACAGGAAAGACAAAUCAGGUACAACUAAAUUAUGAGACUGAAUGAACAGAACAAACUUAGCUGAACUGUAUAGUUUGUUUCAAUUUCAAUUUAAAAAGUAAGGAAGAAAAUAGCAAAUGAGUCAAUUAUUAGAAGUUUCGAACACAUGAACCAUAUACAGAUAAAUAAUUCUCAUGUACAUGUUAAAUUUUAUGGCAGAGAUUAAAAAAAUAGUCAUGAAAAACAAAUAGAACUUCAAAUCCAUCUAACUUAGUUGCCUGUAAAUUAGAGUCUGAUGAAACACAAUAUACAUAAACUAACAAAUUUCACGUAAUUAAGUUGCAAACGGAGUGUAAACUUUUCAAUAAUUUUAAUUUUUGGGGGCUUACAUGAUGUAGUUAGAUAUUUAGAUUGACUAUCGGCUUUGGUUGAUAAGGAUGUUGCCAUAAAUGUAUUGUAUAUAACACGCAUAAUUCUUUUGAAUAUGAACAUUUUUAUUUUAGUAUAGUCCCUGGAGUCAAAACAGAUUAAUAUCCAAUAAGAUUCGAUUUUUUUAUUGAAGUAGACUAAUAUCAUAUUUUCCAACGCUUAUUAACAUGGUUGGCUUAUUUUGUACCUCUAGACUGCACAAACUGAAUUGAAGACAAACAACUUGUUGCUAAUAUAUGUAAAUCAUCGAAAAGAAUAAACUUACAGCAAUUACAAGGUCAUGCCCUCUCUCUGAUUUACUGGUACGUUUAGAAAGAGCUUGAAUGCUAUCAUAGCUUUGAAUAAGUGGCAAAUUCUUGAGACCUAUAUAAUCAAUAGCAGAAAAAAACUAAAAAAUUCAAAAACUAUUAAAUGCUUUCUCUCAGCUUUUCUCAGGCAUUUCAGCUUUUCAAUAAAUUCAACCCAAAGGGAGAAAUUUCCUGUAUAAAUUAAUGUAACAUAAAUAGAAUUAUGUGAGGGUUUUAUCGUAGGUAAGGACUAUUAACUCAUUGCAGUGGCCGCUAUGAAUUAGGCACACCAUCGCUAAAAAGAAGUAUUUCAGUUUUCUAGUGAAGAAUCAAACAUAGGGAAGCCUGUCAUCCUCUUUCUUAAACUUAAAAUAUUCUUGUAAUUAUUCACACAAGCUUCUCCUUUAAACAACUACAACCUUUUUCCUUUUUAAGUGUAUUGUCCGGCUCAAGAGAAAAUAUCUGUUCUAAGUUAGAUUAGUAUUACUUCCUCUAGCAACUGCUUGAAAACUGAAAUAGUAAGGGCCUCUAGCAACUAAUUGAUUAUGAAGGUUCUCUCAGUCAUCAACAGCCACAGAGAAAAUUAUCUAGGAACAAUUUAGCAACCAAUCUGCAGGUCCAACUGGCAGCAUCACUAUCACUUGUUACAUGGGCAGGCCCGUGCACAAAGCUCCCACAUACGCAGGGUCCAGGAAGGGUCCCACCAUUUGCUGAAUUGUACGCAGCCUUACCCUGUUUUUUACACAAGAGGUUGUUUCCAGGACUUGAACCCGUGACCUCAGUAACAUGACAGCAACGUUUUACCGCUGUGCCAAGGCUCCCCUUCUAUCACUUGUUAGAUGAUUAAAGAUAAUUAAUUCUUAAAAGGUUAAUUUCCCAACUCAAAUCACGCCUCAGCCAUGACUCACAAAAUCUUGAAUUACUCUGAUAAUUCCCAAGAUUUAAUUACCUACAUCAUUUCUUCAUAAUGCAGGAUAAACAAUCAAACCAAUCCCAAGUGAGACAUUUGCAAACGCCCAUAAAGGAUUUCAAUAAAACGGAACAUGAACCAUCAGCCAAAAACCUAUAUUACAAUGUAUGAAUAUUUUACCAAUGACACGACUGUAUUAGUUCAUCUUCAGUGCACCUGAGAGAUGUCACUCAAUAGCAAGACUACUACAGCACCCUCUGAAACAUGAUCGUGAUCAUAUUCCAUGGAUCAAUAGGUGCAUGACUCAGAAGAUCAAAAUUGCCAACCCAGAUAAGAACAAGAUAAUAAAUAUGAAAAAAAAACUAGAUAAAAAAAAAUAUCAAUUAUGAAAAGAGAAUACUACACUUUAAUUUUUAAUACAUUUAAGAGUAAAGUACACACACCCCCCUCAAGGUUUGUUAGAAUUACACUCCACCCCAUUCUUAUCUAAAAUCUACACCCCACUCCAUUUUAUAUAGAGGCAAAUUUAGUGACGAAAAAUAUUCUUCAUUAAUAAUUAGUUAUUAUUUAAAUUGUUGAUCAAUAAUUUAAAAAAAUAUUUUCAAUAUAAUCCAAUAAAUUUAAAAAUGAAAACAUCACAGUCCUCCUCAUUCUCUCAAUCGCGUUCUUACUCCGUAAAUUCAUAAUGCAAAUUCNNNNNNNNNNNNNNNNNNNNNNNNNNNNNNNNNNNNNNNNNNNNNNNNNNNNNNNNNNNNNNNNNNNNNNNNNNNNNNNNNNNNNNNNNNNNNNNNNNNNNNNNNNNNNNNNNNNNNNNNNNNNNNNNGUGGAUAUGCAUUAAAUUUAUUUAAAUUUUAACUAAUUAGUAAUUAUUUUUUAUUAGUGACGAAUUUGUUUUCGUCACUAAAUUUUGCCUUUAUAAAAAAUCGGGUGGAGUGUAGAUUUUAAAAAAGAAUGGGGUGGAGUGUCAUUCUUGUAAACCUUGAGGGGGGUGAGUGUAUUUUACUCUACAUUUAAAAUUCUACUCAGUAUUUUAGUAACUGUUUUUCAAGUCAGUUUAUAUCAUUUAAAUAUUGAAGAACAUAGCUUUCUUUUAUCUCUUCUGCAAUUUUGGAAGAAUUAUAGGAUUCAUUUCUGUAAUAUUAUGAUUGUUGAUCUUAUGGGGCAUUACUAAAACUACCGAACUUCUAAUCAAGUCUAAUACAAGACUUAAAUUUUAAGAAGGUGACCGAUUAAGUUUCCCAAGAGUACCAAGUACCGGCACUCGAAGAGUCAAAGUAGCAGAAAAUAACUGAAGCCCACACAUGAUGGCAUAUCUAGCCAUGGUGCACCCCGUCCUGAUGAUUAUAUAUGCCCUAUAAUGCAAAAGUUACUACCGAUUACUCAUCUCUGUAUGCAUUGAGACAUGGAGAGGUGCUCAUUUCUCAAGUCAAGCAUACAGACAAUUUUUUAGCACUUAAAAAACUACACCAAAUUCAGUAAUAAUAUCCUAGUCUAUCUAAGAAUGAUGUCAAAUGAUGAGGAAUUUUAGUAAGCAUAAGUGUCAAAGUACAGUUACUUUUCUUGAUUUCAACAUUGCUGUAAUGGUACAUUUCAGUGGACCCACUAAUUCCUUCAAACGUACAUAUCAAGUUAGGCUGUUCCUUUCUAGCGCUCUCCUAAAAAUUGAUACUCUUUAUCCUUUCGCACCUCAAUAUGAAAGCUAGAAAAGAAACAUAUCUUGUUUAGAAAAGCAUAUCAACAUUUACCUUGUAUGAGGUUCAGACCUGCACGUUGCAUUGACUGUGAUGGUUCAAUUAAAUUCACUUUCUUCAAAGACUUUGGCCAAACUUCUCGCAGUGCCCUACAUCAUUAGAUUUGAAAGGCAUCAAAUUAAUUCAAGAACAUUACUAAGACUUAUGAUAUUGAAGUUCGUUAUUCAACAGAAAAGGUUCAAGAGUCUUUACCAGAAAGCUGAACCAGUCCCAGCACCAAAAUCUAACACCUUGGCUGGGGAGAAACCAGGAAGCCUUCUACGAACCUGAAAAGACAUGAAAUAUAGAGUUCCAUCGAGAUUAAUUUCAAAUUCAUCAACGUUUUAUUCAGAUUGAAAGGCUUUCUGUUAUUAAUUAAAGUAAAAUGUUAAAGUCAAUUAGAUAAGUGGUUCACGCCUUAAAACUGAAUCAUAAAGUAGUUGAUACUACCCCCCCACAUGAUACUCUAAAUCCAUAUAAUAGGGAUGGACAAUCAUUGUUCAUUUCAGGUCCUCUGUUUGAUUCCAUUUAGACCUAAAAUCUACCACCACUGGCCUUGCUUCCAUAUGAAAAUCAGCUCUCUUCUGAUUACUAAAUCCAUCUCUUAAGAGCAAUUCAUGUAUCAAAUUCUCUUGAUAUUAGCGUCAACUUAAGCAAACCCUGCCUUUGAAGAAAUACUUUAUAUUAGAAUCCUAAUCUUUCCAUAUAUUCUUUGCAUGCACUUAACCAUCUUUACAAAUACAUUUCGCUAAAUCCUAAUCCUUUUAGUUUUAACAGGCUUCAUCUAUUAUUUUGCUGUCCAUUUCACCUUCUCAUGUCAGUUUUAACACCCAUAUUUAAUAUAGUACCCUCCCUUCUUUUAUUGAUAUUUUUUCCUUUAUUUUCCCUCUAUCUGGAUUAUGUUUCCCACCUACCUCUUUAAGUACUCUGUAACAAGCAGAGUAAACAGCAGGCAUUCGAGAAGCCACAUAAGCAUUUGUCUGUUCAUCACUGUACGUUAGACCUAUGUCACCGUAAGAGCUCUUAAUCUUCCAGCGCUUUGAUUGUUCAAGAGAUUUUAAAGGGUCUUCAACUAACUCCCUUGACGUGGUGGUUGCCAGUUGUAGAUUGACAUUCUUGAUAUCACUAAAAGAUUGGGACAAACUCAAGACUUUCCUCUUCAUAUAUGGCUCCUCCUGCUCUGUAAUCCCAAGACCACCAUCAACAAUUACAAUCACACAAAUACAAAUACAUAAAGAUAAUAUUGCAUAAAAUAAACACAGAAAAAAAAAAACAAAUGACCUCGAAGGUAUUUUUUAAUGGCACGGCGGAGACGGAUAGGGACAGUGAGACAACGUUGGGAUUGUUUGGCUGCAUGGCGGAUGGUUUCAGGGGUGACAAUUUUCUGUGCAGUUUCAACUAUUGUCUGGGUAGCCAUGCUGGCCCACAACGUAACAAAGCUCUCCUUGCGGUCCAAGUAACCAGGGUCCUCUAUCACUAUAAAUUAGUACGUCAGCAAUAGAUUUUAAAAGGAAAAAUGAAAAUAAUCUAAUCCAGGCACCUAGCAGGCUAGCACCAACAAACACAGUUUAUUUUCAUCAUGUGUGCAUAUCAUCAAACAGAUGGUGUGCAGAGACAAUUUACACUUCAUUUUCAUAGCUUCAUAUUUCAUUUUUUGGCAAACCAAAAACCCAUAUCCGAAAACCCUUGGGUUUCUAACAUUGACUUGUUUACAGCAUCAGAAUUUGAUUUUUCUCUCAGAAACCAAUGGAAAAACAACGGGGAAGGGACGAAGGGUUCACUAAGCAGAUAUGGUAAAGCUCGGAAGAGAAGAAAUGAAGGUUACCUUCUUCAGUCUGCGGAAUGAGAAGCACGGCACGCGACGUGAAGGCGAAGCCCCAUGAACUCGAAGCAAAACUUGCUAGCGAGUGCUACCGGUAAUAAACCCCUCUUAAGCCCUGUUUUCUAAGCAUUCUUUUCUAGUUCUUUUUUUCAUCCUCAUUUUUGUCACAUUAUUAAAUGUUUGAAAAAUGAUAGAAAUACACUAUUUUAAACGCAUUCCUCCACAUGAAAAACACACUCCUAAUACACUUCACUGUAAUUCCAAUUAAAUCUUUAAUCAUAUGGAUGGAUGGAUCGAUGACAAAAAUAAAAGAGAUUAAUUUCAAAUUGAAGCUGUGAAGUAAAUGAGAAAUAUUAUAUUUUGAGAAAAAUGAUGAUGCACCGACGGUGUAAGAUUUUAAAGAUGUGCCACGUCAAUUAAUGAAAUUAAAUAAAAUGAGAGAUUUUCUCACAUCCUUGAAAUCUGAUUGGUUGACGGUGUGUGCAUAGAAAUUAAACUCUUUUCUAUUUUAGAUAUUAUUAAAUUCAAAAUUAAUUGUGAGCUAACAAAAUGGAGGGAUGUGAUUGAAUGAUGGUGUAAAACUUAUUUACACCGUCGGUGCAUAGAAAUUAAUCUCAAAAUAAAAUCUUGAAUGGUGAUUUGCUACGAUAAGUCUAUAUAGUUAGAAAUUAGGCUAAUGUAUGCUGAUUUACGCUUGAAUGAAAUAACUCAUUUUGCGGGGACGAAAGUGCUAGAUUUGUGAAGAAAAAAAAACCUUUAACAUUUUACUUUAUUAUGUCAUUUGUGACAAGAUUGCGACUAUGAUCAAAAUUAAUAGCGAGAGGUCACUCUCUGUUUUCAGUUUUCGUUCACUUCUUAUUACUCACGCCAUGUUUUGAUUUUUUUUAUGUUUUAGGAUUUGUAGUACAAAGGAAGAAUGAGACCGGUAAGAAAUCUGACAGAUCUACCCCUGUCGUUUUGAAACUCAACUUGCAUUGUGUUAGAUGUAUACUGCAGCUAGAGCUAGUGAAUUAAUAUUACCUGAGCUAUUGUACACAUGUGAUAUGUUAGGGCUUUGUUAUUGACAGUUGUCAUUGAUAGUCAGUCGUUAUCCAAUUCGAAUACCAGAUAGAAGAAGAACCACUACCAAGGCGAAAUGAAUAAUCCAUCUCGGAGCAUCCCAAACCUUCAAAACGCCUUUCCAAAAAGGAGAGCUGCUCCGAGUAGCUGUAACAAAUAAAAUGCUUAAUGAGCAAGGUACUCAUGAGAUAACACCUGCGCCCAGAGCUUCCAAUCUUGCUGCAAUAGACUCCAAACCACUUUAUCGAGCAUGGCAGUAUUCGCAAUAACCGCGUCACAUACGCCAAGUCCCCCGCUUGGUGAAAUUUUGAAAUUGGAGAAUCUAGGAAAAAUUAACACAAAUUUUAAUAAGUGAGAUAAAUAUAUUGAAUACUCCAAUCAAAAGAAAUGUAUGUUUUUUUUUAAGUAAACAACAAAUGCAUUAAACCAAAACAGGCAUUCGGGCAACAAAGUCCAGAGUCUACAUAAGUAAGAACAGCAGAGGGAACCUCUUCCACCCACACUGAAUUAGCAUAAAUAGAAGCGUUCCGUGGUAAGAGAUGUAUGUGAGUGAGAUGAGUGUAUAAAAAAAAGUGUGUGGGUUGCCCUCAUAUUAUAUUUAUUGAUUUUAUAAUAAUAAUUAUUAUUAUUAUAUUUUCUAUAACUAAUAAAUUAGAAAUAGAGGUCCUGGUCUCAGAGUGAACAGUCCAUUCCUUCCUGGUCGACCCUAACCCCCUCGGCCCCUCCUACCACAACACGCCACUCCUCAGCCCACCGUCGCCGUGGUCUGGUGCUCCCCCGCCGUCGGUGAAAGUAUUUUAUUUGUAUUUUGUCCCUUUCCUUCCUGAGCCAUGUCCUUCAUGGUUUAGUGGUUCAACGGCGAGGAGAAGUGCUUCUGAAAGAAGCUACUGAGUAGCUUUUGUGAAGUAGAAGCGAUUCUGAAAAAUUUCAACAUAUAUCAAACAUGUCAAUGUAGUUGAGCUUAACAACAGUUUCCUCAUCACACCUAAAGAGGAACGAAGAAUGAGCAAAAGACCACCACCUGAUCCCGUGGCAGUGCUACGAGGCCACCGUGCUUCCGUCACGGACAUUUGUUUUCACCCCUUUAAGCCCAUCCUAUUCUCCGGGUAUUCACUGCAACCAUUUGUUCAUAGUAUCCAUCAAGCAUUUUCAUUCUCUAGUUAUUUGUAUUAGAAUUUUCAAUCCUUAUGGUGAAAUCAACAUUCAAUAAAUUAUUGAUAACAUGCUCUUCUUAGCUGGUUUAGUUGGUUGUAUGUGCAAUGAGUUUCAGUUAAUAAUUGGUUGUUGCAUGCUCUACUUGCUUGCAGUUCUGUUGAUGGUGAACUGCGGAUUUGGGAUACCCUUAAGUAUCAAACAGUGUCAUCAGCAUGGUGAUCAUUUCUACUUGUUUCGCGCACUUUCUUGUUUGCGACGAAUCUGACUGUUUUUCAGGAUUCAUGACUGUGAUGUAAAUUAUUCUGUACUGCAGGUUACAUAGUGCUGCCCAUGGGAUUGUUGCUGUUGCCAGUAGUUCUUUGCUCGGAACCAAUAAAUUUGUCAGGUGCAUCCUUUGUUCUUGAUCUUCCUCCUCUCUUUAUUAGUACAUUGUUCUCGCUCGAAUGAAAUUCAAUUAGGUUCGAUAUGCUUGUAGCCAGGGUAGGGAUGGAACUGUGAAAGUAUGGGAUUUUGAUGAAGCUGGUUUGUCCAGGUACGCGUCUGUAUUUUAAAAACGUCUCAUCUUAUAUAAGCUGGUUUGUUCAAUUUAACACAUGUUUCAUUUUUUUUUUGAAAGGAUAGAGUGUUUUUUGGUACAAACUACAGAGUACAGACAUAUUCUUAAUUAUCAUCUUACUUUUUUUUAUCUGCAUCUCCCCCAGGAAUCCAUUACUUACAAUCAAGACAAACACUUACCACUUUUGCAAAUUUUCCUUAGUUAAGAAUCAUCGCCCUUUGUUGAAAGAGGGGGAAGCAUCAAACAGUUGCCUUAGAACAGAGCUAGGUGGAAUGUCUGAUAAAGAAAAUCUGGAGUUUAAGAGUGAAGAGGCUUCUACAGAUCAAAGUUGUUCUGACAGCUUUGGAGGUUUGUAAGUUAUAGUCUAAACUACGUGUUUUAAUAAAUUUUGAACUUAUGGUGACAAUAUUGCUGUUUUGGAACCUGAUAUUGGACUUAAGCACUCCUAGUCCGACUACUUUUUGAGUUUUACAAUGUUAUAACGCAUCAUUGAACUAUGAUUUUUGUACUGACUGACAUAAGGAAUUUGGUAGUGUUGCUUGUUGUGCUGGAAAGUUUUAUGUGGAAUCCUAGAAAUCUUUCACAACCCUAGCUGCCUUCUGAGCAUCACCACACCAUGCAUAUCCUGGCUAUUUCUGGAAUAUUUAUCUCUAGUGGCAAGUGGCAAAUCAACGGCAAAAUUUAGGGAAUAGCUAUAUCUUGCUACGAGGGAUCUGAACAUAUUUAUUACUACUACUGCUAUUAUUAUCUUUUAUGCAUCAAAGAAUAUGGGUUGACAUCAUCCUAGAUUUCUCAAACUUCAUAAGCUUUUGGAGGUCUGGACUGAUAAUGGAAACUUGAGUUUUGUUUAAUUUACCUAUUUGAUUUCUUUUGGAAAAAGGUUCUCGAGUCUUCUACCUUAUUAAUAAAAACUACACAAGCUAUUUCACUCUGGAGGGUCUGCCUUGAUGGACCGAAUUCCUCAUUUUAUAGCUCUCUAUUGUUUCUUUUCAUAUUUUUCAAAUGUUUUACUUUAUGUUACUUUAUGUUUCAUAUUGUUUUAGUUGUGAGAUUGAUGAAAUAUCGUUGCAUUCACAGAAAAUUCGUAUGGUGAAGGGCCACUAUAUGUGGCUUUGUCAGGGGAGAAUUCUUCUGAGGUAGGUGUACCUUUCUGAUCAUCAUCUGUAUUUUGUCAACACAUUUCAUGGCCAAGUCAUGAAGCCAAAUGCUCAUGAAUUCUUUCUUUUUGAAGGUUGAAAUUUGGGAUCUCAAGUCAGCUGAAAGAUUUGUAAGACUUCCUACAAAAAAUCCUAAUGACUCUUCAAGUGCUUGCAACAAAGAUAGAGGUAUGUUUCUGGUCUGUAUGACUUUUUGAGAUUCAACUGCGUGAUAUAUUAGCACAAUAGUGGCAUCUUGGUCUCGUGGCCACUACUAAACUCUGGUCAUGGAGAAUUUUCAUCUUGCACUGCACAAUUCGAGACCAAACUCACAUCCAUUUGUGCCCCCUCUGCGCUGCAGCUGCUAUUGGUUAAUGGAGGGUUAGGCCUCAUUUGGCCUCUUAUUGUCUUGCUUUUCCACCCUAAUUUUAUGACAUUUUCCUGACAUAUUUGGGCAUUAAAAAUUUGGAAAACCACCUCCAAUAAUUUCUGAAUGCUAUUCACUUAAGGAGCAAGUCUCUGUUUGUCUCUUAUACCUUUACAAGAUUGAACCUGUUGAUUGCCGGCGGUAUUUCCAGCCAUCCUCAGCAUAUUUUAGCACUUUUACUGGUCGCUGAUAUCUGCUACACGACCUUAACCAUGCACUUACUUCCUAGUUGCUACUAACUCAUUGUUCACCCGCCCCCGUUUCAGUUUUCAGCUGUGUUUGUCUAUUAUCACUCUCUGUUCUGCUACUCAAGCUCAUCCAUUCUGUUUUUUAAGAAUUUGACUAGCUCAUUUGGAUCAUGUCUUUAAAUUUGGGUAUUUUUGGGGAGCAUUCAUGUGUAUAUUGCAUAAAUCAUCGUUGAUAUAGCCACGAUCCCGCUAUAUCCCUUUGUUGGUUGGCUGCUCCGCACAGCUGUUUGAGAUUAAUAACUAUGGUGUGUUUGUAUGUGGACAUAUGUGUAUGCAUCUAUGGUUCUCACUUUAUCCUUUGAGUUGACUGUCCAUUACACUUUGCAUUAUCACUUGAGAAAGUAACAAGCACCGAGCCUUUUUAUUGAUUCUCACAUUUUUUCCUCGUAUUAAUGCACUUUUGACGUCUUUCUUCUUUUAAAACAUUAUGUUUCUUUUAAUUAAUAACUAAUGCUUUACUAGAUUUCCCAUUCCUUAGUUAUAUUUUUUCUCUCUGAAAUUAAAGUAAUCAUUUUUUGUCAGGGAUGUGCAUGGCACUUCAAUUAUUUUCACCAUCUGAAUCGCAAGGAUUUUUGAAUGUCUUGGCUGGGUAUAGUUUUGAUCCUCUUCUCUCUCUCUCUCUCUCUCUCUCUCUAAUAAAGUUCAAAGGAUGUCUCAUUAUGGAGACAUAUGAAUGAACUUAUGUUAUAUUUCUGACACGCCCCCUCAUGCUAGAGCUCAUUAGGCUUGAAACACGGACAAUGCACAUAUUCACAUACCUUAUGCUGAAAUUGAACUUUUUUAUUAAAAUAAUAGUGGCAACAAGGAUUGAACUCCAUACUACAUGGUUAUAAAGGCACUGAUACGAUAUCAAGAAUAAACUAUUUUAGAAGUUUAAGUUGUCGAGUUAAAAUGAUUUUAUAUUAUGUUUCUAAUGAAGUUCACAAUAUGGAUUAGUUUCUUUGUCUUAUAUUUGCAUGCUUUCUACUUCUACCAAGAGCUUUAAAUUUAGCUUGUGGGGAAGUUUUAGAGUGUACAGAAUAUCCUUCUUUAUUUGUUAAGUUGCCUUAUUGUUAUUGGGUUUAAGCUUGUUAUAAUAAUAAUGGUGCUUGACCUAAUAAGUAGUAUUAUCAAUAAGAGUAUUAAUUUAAGCUAUCAACUAUCUCAUCAUAUCCUACAUUCUGAUUGUUGUAGAUAUGAGGACGGUUCCAUGCUUUGGUGGGAUGUACGAAAUCCUGGAGUUCCAGUACGUUCAGUAAAAUUUCAUUCUGAGCCAGGUAUGGAAGUCAGUUUCCUUAGGUUUCUUAUCAAUUUCUAAAUAAAUAUGUAUCUGAUAGCUGAUCUUUUUUUGUAGUUCUAAGCGUCUGUAUUGAAGGGUCUUGCAAGGGGGGUAUCUCAGGAGCUGCAGAUGAGAAGAUUGUAAUGUACAGCUUGGAUCAUUCUUUGGUAACUCCAUUUACUUUUAUUUUCUUAUUCCACUGAAACAUCUCCUGCUCCUAUAAAUUGUUAUUUUAUUCUUAAUCUCUUAUUACCUUCAUGUAUUAAGAAGCACAACCAUUUGAAUAAACUAUUAGGCUUCUAGUAACUAAUAGAAUGUGUAGCAUUGGGUUAGCGUCCCUGUUUCAAUAAUCAAAGUUGGUCUCUCUGUGGUUUCCUUAUUUGCAUGGUACGUUGAUAUACAAAGCAACUGUGUUUUGUUCUCUUACCCUUUCAGCUAGUUAGUUAAUAUUUGAUGUUUUUAUGGAUUAAAAUGGCGUUCCCUAAAAGAUGAUAAAUUCAUUAAUAUAAAUGUAGAUAUCCAUAGGUGGUUGUAAUUGGAGAGCUACCCACUGGUCAAUGACUACAUUAAUGAACAUAUACUAGGUCAUGCACAUGAUUGCUCUGAAAAACCUUUUUAUCACUCAGAAGCUAUUAGUAAUAACACAAAAAUGGAAGCUUUCACUUGGAUCUUAGAUCAUUCAUUUUGUUAACAGGUUGUUUUCCACCUUCAAACAUGCAGAAUUUCUGCUAGUAUAUAGAGAGUAAUAUAUAUGUAGUAAGUAAAUUACUUGUAAGUUUUACGUGAUAACACAACUUAAAUUAUAUAGAAUUAUGGAUUUUCUGUUGCAUUUAGUUGACAUGACUGAUAUCUGAGUAAGUAUAAUCGUUUGAAUUGAUUAUACUAUAUUGUAUGGAAAAAAAAAUUAUGAUGGUUUUUCAGGCUGCAGCUCAAUGCUUACUAUGCCCUUUCACUGCUUUAUUUUCUGAUUCAUGUUUUUGACUUAAGGGUACAUGUGUGGUCAAUAAAGAAAUCAAAUUGGAGCGACCGGGCAUCUCAGGCACCUCAAUUCGGCCUGAUGGAAAAAUUGCUGCAACUGCUGGCUGGGACCACAGGUUUUCAAAUGCAUUAAUACCCCCUUCUUUCCAAAGAAAACAAAACAUAUCUUACAAUUUUACAUGUCUAGAUUUCAUUUAAUCAGAACUAAGUUGCUGUUUAUAUUCAAGUUUUAGGUCUCAUCCAAUCUAAUGGCAGAAACAUGUAAAAUGUUGUCUGCUAUCUGUUGAAGAACUUCGAUUAGUUGGAUUAGGUGCGUUGCUUUGAAGUGAGCUGAAUCAGAACUGUCAAAUGUAAACUGGAGUUAUAUUAGUCACAGCUGCAUCAAAUAAAUUUAAUAUGACUGUUGAGGAGAAGCUAUAAUUGUAGCUUCUGAACUCACCGUGUUCUGGAUUAUGUUUCACUACCAAUUCAAACACACCAAUUAUGUAGUAUGCAUAUUAUUCUAUAUAGGCAACACCGUUAUGAUGUUCAUUGGUACAAAUUAAUAUCUGUGUCACUUUUGUUUGCAGAGUAAGGAUAUAUAAUUACCGCAAAGGAAAUGCUUUGGCUAUACUGAAAUAUCAUCAUGCCACGGUAAGUCACAGUUUUCUAUAUCUAAUGCAGUCUGAAUAUGUUAAUUAAAAUAUCAUUAUUGAUUUGAAAACAAACACUCUAUUAUGAUAAGUAAUAAUUUAUUUGAUGUUAUUUGACACAUUUAUGUUGCAGUGUAAUGCUGUUACUUUCUCAUCUGAUUGUAAGCUUAUGGCCUCUGCAUCAGAAGACACGACUGUGGCAUUGUGGGAACUAUAUCCUCCUCGACAAUGAAAUGAAUCUAUUUCAUUAAACCUGUUCAAUGCCCGUAGUUGUCUGUAAUUUAUCUUUCUUAAAUCAAUGCUUAUAAGGUGUAUUUUUUGUGUCAAUCUGAUGACGCAUCAAAAGAUUUUUUUUUUGUCAAAAUAAAUAGUUGCUAAUUUAUGUUAAUGAGUAUAAAAUACAUUAAAAUAUUUUUUCUCACUUAACUACAGAGUAAGUUCAAAAAAAAAACUACAUAGUAAAACAAAAAUGUCCUUAGUUACCACACUCAUAUUCACUUUUUUUACGUCCAAGAUUGAGAUUAAACAUGGCAUAUAUUUCAACACUAGUGCAUUUUAAAAUGAGUGGCAUCUUAUUUGCACCUUGGAAGUAUAAACUUUAUGGGGUCAGGCUGAUAGUUGCUUACAUUGAGCCUCCUUUCUUUUGGACCACUACUAAGUAUACAAUAAUGCACAAUUAUAUAAAGAUGACAAGUGAUUUAGUCCCUAAACGUUUUUCUUUUCCAGAGACGUAUUGUGUUAUACAACUAAACAAUGCCUUUCUUUUCUCUAGAACUUUUAGAAUUUGGACUAGUUCUAACUAAAAAAAAUACACUAGCUCGGCAAGGUUAGGAUUAAUAGUUUUUAUACGUUGUUAGCUUUAUCUCUAGUGGAUGCAAGAUCUCAACAUAAUCAGUCAAUCUCUUCUCUGGAACGGACAUCUGAAGUGUGGAGUUAAUAUUAAUUUUUAUUGUUCUAAAUAUUUGUGAGGCAAGUUUUUUCCCUGAUAGUUAGUAAGAUUAAGGUAAAAGUUAAGGUAAACGACACUUACUUAAUAAGGGACCCAAACCCAAAAGAGCACCAAAACAUAGCAGACAUACACUCUAACUGUCCAAGCUAACAUGUUGUAAAACCACCCAUGAAACAUGACGGUAACUCAUAGGGAUGGCAACGGGUUGGGUCGGGCUUGGGUUUUGCCUAUCCCAAACUCAAACCCAAACCCAAACCCAAUCUCUCAUAUAAAUCUAAACCCAAACCUGUCCGGUUUUGGGUUUACCCAAACCCGUUGUAGCCCUCAAAUUCACGUUAAACCUAAAUUAAUGUAUAAAUUUUUUUGUAAAAUAAAAUGCAACUUGUAUUAUUUUGUUGUGAAAAAACAUUUUAUAUCUUUUUUGUCAAAAAAUAUGAUACUUUAAUGUUCAAAUUUGAUCAAAUUGUUAACAAAUUAAGUUGUUAACCUGAUAUGUAAGAGUAGUUUUGCAAUUUUAUAUAUAAUGUCCGGGUUCGGGUGCGAGUUUCACCAAUACCAAACCCAAACCCAAACCCAAUCAUAUCGGGUUUUACCCGUAAAAUCGGGUUUGGGUUCGGGCGGACCCACGAGUUCGGGUUCCGUUGCCAUCCCUAAAACCCAACAACAAAGAGUGAAAAAAUAAUAAACCAUCAUUAACCAUACAUUAAUAAAAAUUAAAAUACAAAGGCAAAUUUAAUGCUCCAAAUCUUCAACUCGUACCUUACAAAUUUACUCAUUUUGCCAAAUAGAUAUAAGUUAACAUUAGAUAGCUCUGCUAGUAUGCUUCAUAGAAACACAGUAACAAGUAACACACUAUUACAAUUGUGCAUUGCAUUCUAACCUUCAGAGGAGAUAGUGCAAACAGUGGUAAUAUGCGGUGGCUGGUGAACGGAGGCUUCGGCAGUGGCGGUGCGAGUCGUGCGACAGAGGCAAGGGAUUUCAGUGGUCGCCAGGACAGUGGAGGAGGGAAGAAGAGAGAAAAACUCACAAUAGAAGGGAAAAAGUCCACUCAUUUGGGUAGCAAAUUCAUCUGUUGUGGAAGAGAACCCACCUAAUGUAGGAAAAACACCUACCAAGUCGAAGGAAAGUCCUCCCUAGAGGAGGGAGAGAACCCCCAAAGGGAGGUGGCGGAGGACCCUCUGCUUUUCGCUCCCGCUCUGCUAGGGCACACUCUUGUAGUCUUCCUACAACCAUGGCCAUGUUGAUUGCACUAGCGGAGUCCUGAGCCCAAAUUGAUUUUUAAGACAACAUUGGGUGGCCCAAUAUUUUGAUCUAAGACAGACUCGAGUAUCACCUUAAAUUUAAGUUGAAUCUAACUCAAACUCAAAAGCUUGUAUGGUGAAGAUUGCCAAAGUCUUUAAAAGCUAUUAGCCUUAUAUACCGUCGAUGUGGGAUCUCAACAAGCACACACGUGAGGCAAUUAUACUCGAGCCGUAAACACUGUACAUCUUGGUAGAAUUAGUUCUCUUCAUGAAAUUUUUCUAUACACAAGACAUGAAUAUAAAAUUUUGCUUAAUUAAGGAAAAUAAAACAUGCACCAUGUGCAUCAAGUGGUUUCUAAACGAUGCUGUAAUACUUGUUUUCAUGGGUUAGCCACACAAAAAAUCAUUAAUUUCACAUUUGUGGGACUGAUUGCUUUUAGAAUUCCAAAUAUAGGAUGCCUUGACCAAAUAGAUGAGAAAACUUGUGGGAUGUGUUUCCCUUUACAGUGUGGCUUUGCUAGCAAAGGCACCACCGAAAGAUAGAGACCUCACCUCAUCAACCAUUUGCUUUGUACUAUAAUGGCAAUGCACGCCAUAAAACAUAUUUGCAAAUGCUUAGCCAAACAUAUGACAUGUUGUCAUCUAUUUCUUUGCCAACAAGAUUUAUGGCCUCUAAAGAUCGAUUUAAAACUCAUCCCCAAGUGUAAAGAUUAGCAUUUAACAAAUCCAAAUUAAGAUUGAGACAGCACAACUAAACAUUUCUAUGGUCAUUUUAUCAUCGAAUAUGGAUUGGUUGGAAGUUGGAAUUUAAACCGUGGAAGAUAUAUAAGAAACUUUAAGCUCUUCAUAAUAUGUUUUUGCUAAUCGGGAUUCAGGAUACAUAUUUUCCUUUGUUGUUAACUAGUUAAUUCUACAAAAUAAUCAUGAGCUUGUCACAAUGUUAGUUUUCAACAAUAACUCAGCAUACAAAUUGGUUUGAGGGUCAUCCUAAAUAUGUAAAGUACUUGUAUUAAUCAGAAGAGAUGACAACUCGAUGAAUCAAAGCAUAUAUAAAACAUGCAUGUGCUCUAACUUCAAACAUCUUAUGGUAACAGUACUUUUGAAUAAUCAAUUAAGUUUCUAUAGCCUUCAUUACGCAAUCACUUUUAUCGAUUGAUUUGUUUGCUUUACGUAUUUGCUUUUAGCAGUUUUUUAAUCAGGUGAUUUAUUUGUUCUCAUUAAUCGCUUCAAUUAACACCGCCGACACCUCCAUUAGUGCCAUAUAUCAACUUAGUCACCCGUAAAUUCCCUUCAUUGGACAAUGUCAACCCUGUGAACUAAGAUUGAAGAUUAUUUUAAUUUUUAGUCCGGUAAAAUUGAGGUGAAUUGGAUCUGGUUAAUCUGAAAAAAUUAUAACGUUUACUCCCUAAUAUUAUUGAAAUUGGUAAAAUUAAUCAGUGCCGUACUUUCUUUUUUUACUGUUUUUAUGUAUUAGCGGCGAUUUUAACCACCCAAAUUAUACAUUCUUGGUUUCAGUGACGGAUCCAGAAGUUCGAUGUUGUUAGAACAAUAUAUACAUAUAAAUGCGUAUAAAAAAAUUUAAUAUAUAAGAUUAGAAGUGAGUGCAUUUUUUACCAAUUGGGGCACAAGUGAUAACAUUUUUUUACCAAAGAGGUCAUAAAAAAUCACAUACUUUUACUACUCAAGUGAAGACAUUUAGCAAUGUGGAAUACAAGUGAUGACAUUAUUUUACCAAAAGAGCCAUAAAAAACCACAUACUUUUACUAUUCAAUUUUUUUAAUAAUUUUUUUUUUAAAAUCAAGUGAGGGCAUGUGCCCUCAUGGUGCUACAUGCAUCCGUCACUGCUUGGUUUUAGUGGCAAUUCAACCGCCAUAAAGUGAACUGAGAGACUAAUUUCAACCAUAUCAUUAAUGUUGAGACUAAAAACUAUGGAUUCUUUUUAGGGGAAUCAAAUCAAAUUCACUUUUAUUUUAAGGACAAAAAAUAUAUUUAACCCAUUACUUAGUUUUAUAAAUUAGGAUUAAUUAAUUAUUUACAAUAAGUUUUGGAUUAUUAUAUAUGAAUUAUGAAGUUAUUACUUUAGUACUUGUUCACAGAAAGUCCAGAGGACAUAGCUUAGCUAGUCGAGCGCUUCACUUUGUACAUAUCUUCAAUUAACUUAAGCGCUCCUUAUAUGACAAGAGCCUUAUUAAUUACAGUAAUGGUGGAGGAGGCUAAUACACGAAUGACAUUAUGGUGAGUCAUGCGAUCCCGAGUCAUAAAUUUGGUUCACUGUGAUGAUUAGUCCAUAACAGUCUAAUACUCGACUUAUUGAUAGAAAAAUAAGUGAUUGGUCUUUCUUUUCUCUAUGCCCAUAAGAUGAGAAUAUUCGAAGUUCAUAGCGUCGAAUGUCCUUAUCCAUCCUAACAUGUAUAGAAACACAACAUGGGAGGUACUGCUCUGCUCUCGCACCUUUUCAAAAUCCAAUUUGCAAAUUAUGAAGAGAUAUUCACCAUUUAAUAAAUAUAUAUACUUUAUUGGUGAAAAAGUAUUUCUGAAUAGAUUAAAAGGUGAAAGUUCUUUCUAUGAAUUGACAUUUUCAUUCACGGAAGAAGUUGCUCUCGUCUAGAGCAAAUAAGUUGUUGUCGGCAAUGUGUUGCACUUACUUUAAUACAUAGCCUAUAUCUACAAGUUUCAUCGUCACACAAUAACCUCGACAUGAUUCAUUUUGCUAUAUACAAGUUUGGUCAUCACAUUGUAAUCUAGGUAUUAUUCAUUUUGCUUUUUAUUGCUCUUGUUUACUUAAAUUGUGUUUCUGAUCGAUUCAUGACUUAACAACUAUGAUAACAAUCUCCUCGAGACUCGGAUAUCAUAUUGAGUGAGUAUACAUUUUCUAACAAAUUAUUAUUCAUACAUUCUGCUCAAAGAUUGAACCAUAUACUAAAUGUUUAAGGAGAUCAGAUAUUUAUCAGUUAUGCUAGAUCUUAUUAGUGUAAAACUAGUAAUUUAUACACACAUUAAUUAGUCACGAAGUUUUGAUAUAAGAUCAAUUUUCAUGAUUGAGAUAAGUACUUGAAUCUUAGUCCUUAGAUCAUCGUAUCUAUAAAGAAAAUCACAAGAUUGGGCUAUUGAUGUCAAAAAACUGAUUAGUUUUUUAAGGGUACGUGCAGGUCCAGAACCAAAAAGAAAAGGAAGCUUCUGUAGAACCAUUUAUUCUCACACCAACAACAGCCGUAAGUACAUGUCAACAUUAACUUCUCCUAGUCUUAUCUAUGCCUCACUUUUUUUUGUUAAUUUUUUUUAAGGCGCUGAAUUGAUGUCGGCUACCAUUGAUGUCCGGUCUAAUUAGAUAGGGAAAAUUGCUGAUUUUAAACAACACUUAUGAUAAAUUUACAUUUACAUGACCUAGUUUGGAAGAGUUUAUUUGAGCUUAUCUGAUAGCAUAAGCUUUUAUGCCAGUGUUUGAGAGAACUUAUGCAAACAGCUUAUGACCUACCAUAAGCUGUUUUGAGCUUAUUUUCAUAAGUUAUUCAGGAUAGCUUAUGAAAAACAGUUUAUGCUUAUAUAUAAUUUAUUUUCAAUUUAUUUCAGUAAAAUUUUUAAAAUGGCUUGUGAAUAAGCACUUAUGUCAUUUUUCCUACGCGCUUAAUUAAGUUGUUUUCCUAAACGGGGUCAAUCCUAAGAUGACGAUUGAAGGUUCAAACUUCAAACUGAGUAAUGAUUCAUUUACACUUUAUUUUUUCUUCAAUAUUAUUUUCAUAUUUUUCUUUCUAUUUUUUUUUCUUUAUUUCCUAUAACAUCAUAUAUCAUAUCAAUCAUUUUUUUACAGCCAAGGCAUUUAUUCUGCUUCGGGAGCCUACUCUUGGCUCAUUAACGCGAAUGCACAGCUGUCUCUCACUGGUUUGGAUACUUGGCGCUGGAUUUGGAAGAUUAAGGUUCCGGAGAAAAUUCGUGUCUUCAUUUGGUUGUGUAUGCACGAUGCAAUUCAGGUUAACAACUUGAGGUUUCGUUGCAAGCUUGCUUCCUCACCCUCGUGCUCGCGGUGUCAACAUUCUAUGGAGGAUAUUUUACAUUGUUUGCGGGACUGCAGGUUUGCUAGGGAAAUUUGGAAUAGAUUGAAUGCUCUCACGUGGCCUCGGUUUCUAGUUGGGAGUGUCCAGGCUUGGAUCAAAUACCAGGUGUGUGGUCCUCAUGGUUCCUUGUUUGCUACAGCUCUUUGGGGAAUUUGGCGGUGGCGUAACAAUGCAAUCUUGGGUGAUAAGUCUUGGAACGCUAUUAGUACUGUGAAUUGGAUUUCUACAGAGCAUCAUGACUAUUCCUCCUUUCUUUCUAGUGAUCUGUCCAUGACAUUGGGCAUGGGUGGAGGUGCGUUUUGGAGAGCUCCUCCCGCAGGUGAAUUCAAGCUCAACACUGAUGGUGCCUUUGACUUGACCGGAGCCAGGAUGGGUAUGGGGGNNNNNNNNNNNNNNNNNNNNNNNNNNNNNNNNNNNNNNNNNNNNNNNNNNNNNNNNNNNNNNNNNNNNNNNNNNNNNNNNNNNNNNNNNNNNNNNNNNNNNNNNNNNNNNNNNNNNNNNNNNNNNNNNNNNNNNNNGGGACUUGUUAGCCUUGUAGUUUCUUUCUGUCGUAAUCAAGUGAGGGCAUGUGCCCUCAUGGUGCUACAUGCAUCCGUCACUGCUUGGUUUUAGUGGCAAUUCAACCGCCAUAAAGUGAACUGAGAGACUAAUUUCAACCAUAUCAUUAAUGUUGAGACUAAAAACUAUGGAUUCUUUUUAGGGGAAUCAAAUCAAAUUCACUUUUAUUUUAAGGACAAAAAAUAUAUUUAACCCAUUACUUAGUUUUAUAAAUUAGGAUUAAUUAAUUAUUUACAAUAAGUUUUGGAUUAUUAUAUAUGAAUUAUGAAGUUAUUACUUUAGUACUUGUUCACAGAAAGUCCAGAGGACAUAGCUUAGCUAGUCGAGCGCUUCACUUUGUACAUAUCUUCAAUUAACUUAAGCGCUCCUUAUAUGACAAGAGCCUUAUUAAUUACAGUAAUGGUGGAGGAGGCUAAUACACGAAUGACAUUAUGGUGAGUCAUGCGAUCCCGAGUCAUAAAUUUGGUUCACUGUGAUGAUUAGUCCAUAACAGUCUAAUACUCGACUUAUUGAUAGAAAAAUAAGUGAUUGGUCUUUCUUUUCUCUAUGCCCAUAAGAUGAGAAUAUUCGAAGUUCAUAGCGUCGAAUGUCCUUAUCCAUCCUAACAUGUAUAGAAACACAACAUGGGAGGUACUGCUCUGCUCUCGCACCUUUUCAAAAUCCAAUUUGCAAAUUAUGAAGAGAUAUUCACCAUUUAAUAAAUAUAUAUACUUUAUUGGUGAAAAAGUAUUUCUGAAUAGAUUAAAAGGUGAAAGUUCUUUCUAUGAAUUGACAUUUUCAUUCACGGAAGAAGUUGCUCUCGUCUAGAGCAAAUAAGUUGUUGUCGGCAAUGUGUUGCACUUACUUUAAUACAUAGCCUAUAUCUACAAGUUUCAUCGUCACACAAUAACCUCGACAUGAUUCAUUUUGCUAUAUACAAGUUUGGUCAUCACAUUGUAAUCUAGGUAUUAUUCAUUUUGCUUUUUAUUGCUCUUGUUUACUUAAAUUGUGUUUCUGAUCGAUUCAUGACUUAACAACUAUGAUAACAAUCUCCUCGAGACUCGGAUAUCAUAUUGAGUGAGUAUACAUUUUCUAACAAAUUAUUAUUCAUACAUUCUGCUCAAAGAUUGAACCAUAUACUAAAUGUUUAAGGAGAUCAGAUAUUUAUCAGUUAUGCUAGAUCUUAUUAGUGUAAAACUAGUAAUUUAUACACACAUUAAUUAGUCACGAAGUUUUGAUAUAAGAUCAAUUUUCAUGAUUGAGAUAAGUACUUGAAUCUUAGUCCUUAGAUCAUCGUAUCUAUAAAGAAAAUCACAAGAUUGGGCUAUUGAUGUCAAAAAACUGAUUAGUUUUUUAAGGGUACGUGCAGGUCCAGAACCAAAAAGAAAAGGAAGCUUCUGUAGAACCAUUUAUUCUCACACCAACAACAGCCGUAAGUACAUGUCAACAUUAACUUCUCCUAGUCUUAUCUAUGCCUCACUUUUUUUUGUUAAUUUUUUUUAAGGCGCUGAAUUGAUGUCGGCUACCAUUGAUGUCCGGUCUAAUUAGAUAGGGAAAAUUGCUGAUUUUAAACAACACUUAUGAUAAAUUUACAUUUACAUGACCUAGUUUGGAAGAGUUUAUUUGAGCUUAUCUGAUAGCAUAAGCUUUUAUGCCAGUGUUUGAGAGAACUUAUGCAAACAGCUUAUGACCUACCAUAAGCUGUUUUUCUACUGUCCUAUAGAGUAUCUUGAGGCUCCGCCUCAGCAGUUAGCUCCCAUCUUGGCUAGGGACUUGUUAGCCUUGUAGUUUCUUUCUGUCGUUUUUUAAUUUUCCGAUGUACCAAAAAAAAAAAAUAUCAAUCAUUUUUUUAUUCUCUUCCUAUUUACUCAAGGUGAUGAUGAAUAACAUAUGUAAACCAAACAUUAUUCAGUUCAAACCUAAAAUUUGUGCGAUAUGAGAUUCUAUCGUAUUCUACUCAAUUAAUCCUCUUAAGUUUUCCAUGCCUCACUUUGAUGAACGUACGGGAGCGAGUAAAAGUUCCUAUUCUUUUCACUUUUCAAGUAGUAAACAAACUGAAGAUCGACCAAAUGAAACACAAGCUUUGAAGUGAGAAAGUGAAGAAAGAAAAGGCAACCUAUGAUUGAAGAAUCUUCAUGUCUUCAUAUUAUGAGAUGAGAGAGAAAACACUUGACUCUUGCUUCACGACCAUGUCUUUCCUGCACAUGUAUAUACUUCUGGCCUACGCGCGUGAUUGGGUACGUAGCUAGGACCCUAUAGUACUGUUCAUCCUUCAUUCAUUAGCUAGCUAGCUCAUAAAUUUUCAAGAGAAGCUAGGCAAACCCAUAGUAUGGCUUUAUCAUAAAUAAAUAAAUACUCACAUACUGUAUAUAUCUUCCUUAAAUCUUUGGUGACUCCAGGAUUCAAUUAUAUAACAGUAGUAGUACUCUCCUCAUGUAAUUAAGAAUUAGCUACUUGUUGUGAUCAAUCCUUAUCCUUGAGCAAGCUAGCUUCACAACUCUACUAACAUCAAUCUUCAAUGAUUGUAAGAUUAAUUAUUAGGACCAAAGAAGCCUAUACAAGCUUCAGCUUUCAGUUCUUUCAAGUUUCAACAAUAACCCCAUAUCAGUUUUGGAGCAUACAACAAAUUAAAUAGACUUGGCAGAGUGAAAACAACAGUAUCCCACCCCACGCGUCUUCACUUGCGUCUGGGAAAAAUACUUAAUUAUCCAUCAUACACAAUCUUCACUUGUAUUUAAACACCAAUUCCCUUGCACCUAAAUUUCUAUCUCAAUACCACUAUCCCCAACACAACACAACACAAGCAGUUCUACUAAGCAGGCACUUAUAAUUCCUUGCUAAGUAAACCAACCAAAACCACAUGAAGAACAUCCCUUUGCUUCUCCUCCUCCUCACUCUCCUAGCCACGGCAGAAGCCGGCGGCGGAAAGUGGCAGCUCCUCCAACAAACCAUCGGCAUUGUCGGCAUGCACAUGCAGCUACUCCACAAUGACCGUGUCAUCAUCUUUGACCGCACCGACUUCGGUUUCUCCAACCUCUCCUUACCCAAAGGUAUGUGCCGCCACAACCUGCAAGAACUUGCGGUCAAN